rnacentral:siRNA from 1 species
CGGUGACCUUGCAAUCAUCGC